rnacentral:rRNA from 1 species
UACGGGGGGGGCAAGCGUUGUUCGGAAUUACUGGGCGUAAAGGGCUCGUAGGCGGCCAACUAAGUCGGAUGUGAAAUCCCCAGGCUUAACCUGGGAACUGCAUCCGAUACUGGAUGGCUUGAAUCCGGGAGAGGGAUGCAGAAUUCCAGGUGUAGCGGUGAAAUGCGUAGAUAUCUGGAGGAAUACCGGUGGCGAAGGCGGCAUCCUGGCCCGGUACUGACGCUGAGGUGCGAAAGCGUGGGGAGCAAACAGG